rnacentral:rRNA from 1 species
AGAGUUUGAUCAUGGCUCAGAACGUACGCUGGCGGCACGCCUAACACAUGCAAGUCGAACGAAGUAGCAAUACUUAGUGGCAGACGGGUGAGUAACAUGUAGGUAUCUGCCCUUUGGCCUGGAAUAACACGAGGAAACUUGUGCUAAUACCGGAUAAGUCUUUACGGAGAAAGCUUUAUGCACCAUUGGAUGAGCCUGCACUUGAUUAGUUUGUUGGUGGGGUAAUGGCCUACCAAGACUGUGAUCAAUAGCUGAUUUGAGAGGAUGAUCAGCCACAUUGGGACUGAGACACGGCCCAAACUCCUACGGGAGGCAGCAGUGGGGAAUCUUGCACAAUGGAGGAAACUCUGAUGCAGCGAUGCCGCGUGAGUGAAGAAGGCCUUUGGGUUGUAAAGCUCUUUCGUCGGGGAAGAAAAUGACUGUACCCGAAUAAGAAGGUCCGGCUAACUUCGUGCCAGCAGCCGCGGUAAUACGAAGGGACCUAGCGUAGUUCGGAAUUACUGGGCUUAAAGAGUUCGUAGGUGGUUGAAAAAGUUGGUGGUGAAAUCCCAGAGCUUAACUCUGGAACUGCCAUCAAAACUUUUCAGCUAGAGUAUGAUAGAGGAAAGCAGAAUUUCUAGUGUAGAGGUGAAAUUCGUAGAUAUUAGAAAGAAUACCAAUUGCGAAGGCAGCUUUCUGGAUCAUUACUGACACUGAGGAACGAAAGCAUGGGUAGCGAAGAGGAUUAGAUACCCUCGUAGUCCAUGCCGUAAACGAUGUGUGUUAGACGUUGGAAAUUUAUUUUCAGUGUCGCAGCGAAAGCGAUAAACACACCGCCUGGGGAGUACGACCGCAAGGUUAAAACUCAAAUGAAUUGACGGGGACCCGCACAAGUAGUGGAGCAUGUGGUUUAAUUCGAAGAUACGCGCAGAACCUUACCAACACUUGACAUGUUCGUCGCGACUUUAAGAGAUUAAAGUUUUCGGUUCGGCCGGACGAAACACAGGUGCUGCAUGGCUGUCGUCAGCUCGUGUCGUGAGAUGUUGGGUUAAGUCCCGCAACGAGCGCAACCCUCACUUUUAGUUGCCAUCAUUAAGUUGGGCACUCUGAAAGAACUGCCAGUGAUAAGCUGGAGGAAGGUGGGGAUGACGUCAAGUCCUCAUGGCCCUUACGUGUUGGGCUACACACGUGCUACAAUGGUAUCUACAACAGGAAGCAAGACUGCGAAGUUAAGCAAAUCCUUAAAAGAUACCUCAGUUCGGAUUGCACUCUGCAACUCGAGUGCAUGAAGCUGGAAUUACUAGUAAUCGUGGAUCAGCGUGCCACGGUGAAUGCGUUCCCGGGUCUUGUACACACCGCCCGUCACACCAUGGGAGUUGGUUCUACCUUAAGGCAAGGUUUCAAACCCUUGACCACGGUAUAGUCAGCGACUGGGGUGAAGUCAUAACAAGGUAGCCGUA